AUGCUCCCUGUGCGAGGAGGCGGCCCUGGGGACAGAAGGAGUUAAGUGUCAACCACGGGACAUGAACUGUACUCUCCGAGGCCUUGCCUAUUCAUCCUCCCUGCCAUUUCAGCUCAGGGGGCCCCCCAUUCAUCUGAAUCCUCCCUGCCAUCCUCCCUCCCCACACUGCUGCUAAUCCCUUUGCCCUCCUGCACUGGUUUCCUGGUCAACCCCACCAGCGUCUCCUGCACCAUCUGUUUGUGGAAGGACCAGUUCUUUGUCUCCUGCAUUUUCUCAGACGGCACAGAGUCAAGAACCACAGCUGUCUUCAGAGAAUUUUCUCUGGGUGUCUGGGCUUCACGGGAAAACAUCAUCAAAAUAGCCGGCAGGACACGAAAGUGUGUGCAUGUGUGUGGGCGCGUGCGUGUGUUUUCUCCUUUCCUAUUUGCAGCCCUGAUCGUUUCAUUUUAGGAAUCGCUGGUUGGAAGCUGUGCACUGAUUCCUGGGCAUCUCUGUGGGUGACUGUCUCGCCGAGGCUUUUGCCCAUCAGGCCCACAGCCCUCCCCUCUCCUGGGUUCCAACCCCGGGAUUUCUUUGGUCCCUAUCUUCUCAUCCUGUGCUUCUGGAGUGACCAGAGACUGAAGCUGUGUGUUGCAGCCCAGCCACCUGAGAAUUUUCUCCAGUUAAGGCUCUCCUCUUCUUCCUUCCUCCUCUUCUCCUUCAAAGCUAGAAUUCCAGAGCAUCUCGGCUCUGGAAAUGUCAGGAAGCGUCAUUCACCAGCAAAGUUAAUCCCCUCGCAUCCCAGCGUUAUUCCUUCCCACGCUUGUUCCCAGAGGCAGUAAGGAUGUUUCAGACCCCAUAGCAGUUGGGUGAAAAGCCAGUGAAUGAGUGAGCCCCAGCUGACUCCUCACAGACUCCCCUCCAGCUUCCCUUGCUUUUCCACUCUGGAAUUUUUUCUGCAAAGCGUCUUUGGAACUCCUCCGCAAGCCUUCCCCUUGCCUCCGUCGCGGCUGGCCACCAUCCCCGGCCACUUCCGAAGGUGCCUUUGCCCUCUUUUCUACCCCUGCCCCUUCAUCCCCGCCCCCUUCACUCCUUUCCCUCCGGGCGAAGCAGCCUGCAGAUCUUGUCCCCAAGAACUGUCAUAAAGUUUCCCAAGCAGCUUGGUUCAGAGGUGAAACCUUCCCAUCUCCCACCCCCAGCGCGGAGGAGGGAGGACUCCCCUCCAACCCGUCCCACCUGCCGAGGUGAGGUUAUCCGGGCCAUCCGAGGUGUUGCUGGCAUUGGGGCCGGUGGGCAGCAGCGAGGCUUCCAGGUCCAUCCUCGGCACCCGCUCGCCCGCCGCCCACGCAGGAUGCGGCACCACCGGCGCCUGCCGCCGGCCGGAGCGCUAGCCCGGCAGCCUGGCAGCCUCCGCCGCCUCGAGCCCCGCAGCUCUGCCUCCUUCCUUCCCCGGCUCCCGCUGACAUCACCUAGACACAUUCACAUUCGGAGCAGAUGCUCGUUAACCUCUUCAGCCCCGCGCCGCAGCUCCGCUUCCGACUGCCUGCAGAGCGCAGCGGGCGGGAGCCGGACUCAGGCGUCCCCAUCAGGGAGGGGGCUUCCCUCCCUCGGGGGGCUGCGCCUCCUGCCACAGGGAGGCCGCUUGCUUCACGUGAGGCUACAAGUCUCUGCAAAGGCAAACGAGCCGCCUCCCUCAUCCCGGGGUGCCUGGGCCACGGGGCAGGGGUGGGGGGUGACUGUUCCCAGAGCUUGGGGAAAGAAGGCGGGGACCACCAUGUGCCUUGGCCCCGGGCCUCCCUGGGCCCCUUCCCAUCGCCGGGAUGGAUUCCAACCAGCGCUGUGGCUAGACUGCCACCGUCCUUCAGAAGCUGAGCAGUUGCUUGCUGCUGAGCCCUGGCUGGCACCGUGUCAUCAGGUCACCCCGUGUUGGCGAUGACCAGGGUCUUGGGGGCCAGAAGGGGACAAAUUCCCUUCUGCACAGGACCAGCAUGGACCAUGCUUACAGAGGUCUUAUUUUUCUAAAUGCUCUGAGGUCCUGGAAGUUUCACCUGGAACUCCUAGAGACAAAUUUCGGAGCCAAGACACCCAAAGAGAACGUCAGGAGUCGCUUUAGAGGGCAGAGCAUUGAGUGACUUCUCCACAAAGGCGUUCUGCUGCCAGCCUCCAGUGCCCCUGACAGCCCAGAGCUGCCACCACAUCCUCUGCCAGACUCGGGAGCUGGAGGUUCAAGCUCCAUGGCAUGUUCAGUGAAAUAUCUUCUCUUAAUAAAACACAGAAAAACUGAACACAACACCAGCCCUCUGGGCCCCAGAGAUUUCAAAACAUCAGGCCACGUGGAGACCUGGGCAGCUGUGCAACACCUUUGGGAGAACAGUUCAAGGGUGGGACAAACGCAUCACCUUAUUCACUCACUCAGUGUCACCACAUGCAGUGCUGGGGGACAUGUGCAGAGUCGCCGUGCUCCUGCCAUGGGUUGGAACUCUGUCUCCUGCUGUAUCUCAUCCUGGUUAAUCCUGCCAGGCAGAACACCUACUAUGGCUCACCUCAGACUUGGCGGAGUAUGCUGCUGGAAGGAGGGACAUGGGUCUCCUAAGAAUUUCCUAAAAGACAGGUGGGGACUUGCUUCAGGCCAGCUGGGAAAAGCAGGCCUUUUGAGCAGAGACAGACUCUGGGUGAUGAAAUAAAAUUCCU